rnacentral:lncRNA from 1 species
UGGCUAAUUUAAUCAUCAUCCUUGCUGUUCUGUGAUGCCGCUGGCAGGGUGGCUAUCUGAGGCCUCCCAGGUCACCCUCCCGUGACGAGGGGAGACAGGUGCUGUGCCCACACCGAGGGCCGUCAGUGCGUGGGUGACGACCACACCUGGCAGGGCCGCAGAGCGCCUCGGAUGUGGGCUGUGGCCAGCAGCGCGCAGCAGAGGGAGCCCGGGCAUCUGUGCUGCAUUCCCAGCCCGGCUGAAGUUCCAGCAGCGCCCGCCGGCCCCUCAGCUCCACUGCGAUGCGCCUGCCGCGGUGAGGAGGGAGAGAGCCCAUUUUGCUUUCUUAGAGCAGGGGUGAGCAAUGAGCUCGCCGAGGAAUUUGGCAAGGAGACGGGAGCGGAAGGCAGUCGGGUGCCGGCAGACAAGUUGUGAGAUCCUUGCGGCGGCUCCCGGGGGGAGCAGCGGCUGACAAGACAGGGCUGGCGGGCUGCAGACCAGAGGGCGCCCCGCAGCACUGGAGCCUGACGCAGCCCCUGCUCCUGCUGCCUGUGGCUGAAUAAAGGGAGGAAGCUGGAGACACAAUUGCCAGUGAGCAAGCAAGCCAGGGAGCAGUGUUCCUAAAAGGAGAACACAGGCUCCAGAGGAGGGAGGGUGACCCUCUGCCUGCAAGGCUGCCUUUAAAGGAGAAUCCCUCAGCGCCACGUGACACAGGAGAAGGAUGAAGUCGCAGCUCUGCUGACUGAAACUCAUUUAAACUUUCCUGUGAGCGAGCGCCACGCUGCAUUAUCUAUGGAGUGGCUGGCUUCCACCGGGGUAGAGUGAAGUGCAGUGCCGGGCCAGGCCGGGAGGGGCAGGGUCCCUCCACACGCUGCGGUGAUGCCGUCACCGUGCUGUGAAGCAGCCACUGAAAUCUAAACUUCGCCCUUUGACUCCGGAACAAGGACACGUC